rnacentral:tRNA from 2 species
AGCCCCGAGGUGUUUUACAUAUAAGAUUGCAAAUCUUAAGUAGAGGGUUAGUCGCCCUCCGGGGCUU